rnacentral:rRNA from 1 species
GAGUUUGAUCGUGGCUCAGAUUGAACGCUGGCGGCAGGCCUAACACAUGCAAGUCGAACGGUAACAGGAAACAGCUUGCUGUUUCGCUGACGAGUGGCGGACGGUGAGUAAUGUCUGGGAAACUGCCUGAUGGAGGGGGAUAACUACUGGAAACGGUAGCUAAUACCGCAUAACGUCGCAAGACCAAAGGGGGGACCUUCGGGGCCUCUUGCCAAGUCGGAUGUGCCCAGAUGGGAUUAGCUA